rnacentral:ncRNA from 1 species
AACCCGUUUAUGCGUCCGGGCAAUGGCGCAUACCUCCCUGUUGGACUGGCCGGGCUUUAUGCCCGGCCUUUUUU